GCCCGCGUGGUGUAGGGGUUAUCAUGAGGGGUUGUCGAUCCCUCGACCCGGGUUCAAAUCCCGGCGCGGGCG
rnacentral:tRNA from 1 species